rnacentral:rRNA from 1 species
UACGGAGGGUGCGAGCGUUGUCCGGAAUCACUGGGCGUAAAGGGUGCGUAGGCGGCCCACUAAGUCAGUGGCUGAAAUAUCCCGGCUUAACCGGGAGGGUGGCAUUGAUACUGGUGGGCUUGAGUACAGAUGAAGUAGGCGGAAUUGACGGUGUAGCGGUGAAAUGCAUAGAUAUCGAUCAAGAACACCGAUAGCGAAGGCAGCUUACUAAGCUGUAACUGACGCUGAGGCACGAAAGUGUGGGGAUCAAACAGG